GACGAACGCUGUCGGCGUGCUUAACACAUGCAAGUCGAACGGAAAGGCCCUGCUUUUGUGGGGUGCUCGAGUGGCGAACGGGUGAGUAACACGUGAGUAACCUGCCCUUGACUUUGGGAUAACUUCAGGAAACUGGGGCUAAUACCGGAUAGGAGCUCCUGCUGCAUGGUGGGGGUUGGAAAGUUUCGGCGGUUGGGGAUGGACUCGCGGCUUAUCAGCUUGUUGGUGGGGUAGUGGCUUACCAAGGCUUUGACGGGUAGCCGGCCUGAGAGGGUGACCGGCCACAUUGGGACUGAGAUACGGCCCAGACUCCUACGGGAGGCAGCAGUGGGGAAUAUUGCACAAUGGGCGGAAGCCUGAUGCAGCAACGCCGCGUGCGGGAUGACGGCCUUCGGGUUGUAAACCGCUUUCGCCUGUGACGAAGCGUGAGUGACGGUAAUGGGUAAAGAAGCACCGGCUAACUACGUGCCAGCAGCCGCGGUGAUACGUAGGGUGCGAGCGUUGUCCGGACUUAUUGGGCGUAAAGGGCUCGUAGGUGGUUGAUCGCGUCGGAAGUGUAAUCUUGGGGCUUAACCCUGAGCGUGCUUUCGAUACGGGUUGACUUGAGGAAGGUAGGGGAGAAUGGAAUUCCUGGUGGAGCGGUGGAAUGCGCAGAUAUCAGGAGGAACACCAGUGGCGAAGGCGGUUCUCUGGGCCUUUCCUGACGCUGAGGAGCGAAAGCGUGGGGAGCGAACAGGCUUAGAUACCCUGGUAGUCCACGCUGUAAACGGUGGGUACUAGGUGUGGGGUCCAUUCCACGGGUUCCGUGCCGUAGCUAACGCUUUAAGUACCCCGCCUGGGGAGUACGGCCGCAAGGCUAAAACUCAAAGGAAUUGACGGGGCCCCGCACAAGCGGCGGAGCAUGCGGAUUAAUUCGAUGCAACGCGUAGAACCUUACCUGGGUUUGACAUGGAUCGGGAGUGCUCAGAGAUGGGUGUGCCUCUUUUGGGGUCGGUUCACAGGUGGUGCAUGGCUGUCGUCAGCUCGUGUCGUGAGAUGUUGGGUUAAGUCCCGCAACGAGCGCAACCCUUGUUCACUGUUGCCAGCACGUUAUGGUGGGGACUCAGUGGAGACCGCCGGGGUCAACUCGGAGGAAGGUGGGGAUGACGUCAAGUCAUCAUGCCCCUUAUGUCCAGGGCUUCACGCAUGCUACAAUGGCUGGUACAGAGAGUGGCGAGCCUGUGAGGGUGAGCGAAUCUCGGAAAGCCGGUCUCAGUUCGGAUUGGGGUCUGCAACUCGACCUCAUGAAGUCGGAGUCGCUAGUAAUCGCAGAUCAGCAACGCUGCGGUGAAUACGUUCCCGGG
rnacentral:rRNA from 1 species